rnacentral:misc_RNA from 1 species
GAGAGAGAGAGAGAGAGAUCACUGACACCAUUAUCUAACAGAAUUAGUAAAGAAAUAAAAUAAAAUGAUGUGCUUUCUGUUAAUGUUCUCACGAAAAUCCCAGGAAACAGCAACAGAUGACCAAAAUCAAAUAACAAAGGAGGAAAAAAAAAAGGCCGGCUUAAUUACAAAUUUAUUAGUAAAGAAAAGACUACAGAAGGAUAUCAAAUAAAAAUUCCCAUAAGAAGUGAUAUAUAUGCAUUCUAGCUUAUACAACACAACCUUGACCCACAAAUGGCGAUUUGCAUGCACUGACUGCAAAGACCAAAAGAGAUGAUGAAAGUCAAACAAAGAAGGUAAUACAUUAGAACUCAGCUUUAAUAUUUCCCAUAUCAAGACCUAACAAUUCCAGAAUUUACCAAAGGAAUAUGUCUGCAUCAAAUAAUAUUCUUUUAAAAGAUAUUAAAACAAACAAAUGUAAAUAAAAGGAGAUAGUUUUAAGGUUUCCACUGAUAGAGAAUGCCCUAUUUGCAAUUACAGUUAUAAGUACCUUCGAAUCUGCUGUCUGGAAAGUAAGGGUGUUUGCAUUAACCAACAAGGUGUUUAAAUUAUUUUACCAGAAUGUGAAAAAGCAAUGUUAACCUAUCUAACCAAGUUGU